GUCAUAAUCAACAUUAUUUAACGAAUCGGUUUCGACGUCGUGUGAGCCAAACUGUAAACACAGUUUUUUGUGUUUGCUGUGGUGAUAAAUAUAGUAACUGUGCUCUACUAAACUUAAAUUUAUCAGGUUUAACAUCAAAAUUGAUCAUAAUCGGCGACAACAUCAGGCGACAAAAAAGAAAAACCCGUUGUACAGAAAUCGCGGUCAUUUGGAGCGGAGUUCAGAAAAUUAAUUUCGAGCCCCCAGUGCUCAGCUUCGGAUAUAUCAGCAUCGACCAAGCAAGUGCGAACCUUGCAAGGAUUAGGAGUAAACUGUCAUGUGAAACUCAGAACGCAUCCGAGAACGAUUUUGCUGUGCCAAAACAGAACCAGCUAUACCGUGCAGUACUCCGAAACAUUACCAACUCUCCAAAAACCAAACCAAAGGGAACAUCAUUCGAUGAAAAUUCCCACCGAGGAU